CAGCUCCAGGCUGAAAAUGAGAGACUUUCGGGGGGCGGGACCGUGGGCAAUGCUAGUAGCAGUGCUACUAGUACCCAGCCUGUUCGACGGGAGCAAGCGCUCUUUAUACCUCGAGAGCGGCGGUGCCCAAAGUUUUCUGGCUCUGCAACUGCAGGGUCUUUGUCUGUCGAAGAAUGGAUUGAAGAAGCGAAAAGUUGUAUUCGGGCAACGCAUAUGUCUAAUUUUGACAAGGCAUUGUUUUUGUUUGAUCACUUAGAGGGCGAAGCCCGAAAUGAGGUUAAGUACCGUCCUACAGCCACACGUGAAAACCCUGAGUCAAUAAUUGAAGUUUUAAGAGAAGUGUAUGGGUGCGCUAAAUCAUAUGUUUACUGGCAACAGCGUUUCUUUAAUAGAAAGCAAAAGGAUAAUGAAAGUUUGUUUGAGUUCUCUCAUGCUUUAAUGGAAAUGUUGGAUAAAGUAAAACAGUCAAAUGAAGGUGCCAUCAGAAACCCUGAUGUUGUUCUGCGAGACCAGUUCUGUGAAAAUGUCUCUGAUCCUAUGUUACGUAGAGAACUUAAGAGAUUAGUACGAGCAGAUAGUGGGUUGACUCUUCUAGCCGUACGGAAAGAAGCUAUAAGGUGGGUGCAGGAGGGUCAGUCCAAUCGAGAUCGUAGUUACCGUGCUCCGGGGGUAAGCAGUGAAGCUCAGGUUGUGUCGCAAUGUGUUACAGCCCCCCAGUCCUCAGAAUUCGCUGAACUAAAAGACUUGGUCCUUAAGCAACAAGCUCAGUUGGAUAUGCUCGUAAGGCAGUUAGGACACCUUAGUGGUAGAUCACAGGCUCCUCCACCACCCCGGGGUGGGCGAUACAAACGUGCCCCUGAUGGUCAGCCCAUUUGUUUACGGUGCGACCUAGCCCGCUACUGUCAGGCAGCUACUUCCACCAAGAAUAGUGGGUCAGCUUCACGUCUGCCCCCUGAUAUCCCCCCUAACCUAGCACCAGGCCCAGACAAUCUCCUUAGCCAGUCGGGAAACUAGCAAUUCCCAGUGUGCAGAGCCACACGCUGGGAAGGGAUGUGUAUGGCUCAUUGCAUUCUCAAAUAUAUGAUAAGUUAGUCAA
rnacentral:lncRNA from 1 species